rnacentral:rRNA from 1 species
CACGUAUUUAGCCGGAGCUUCUUUUUCAGGUACCGUCACUUUCUUCCCUGCUGAUAGAGCUUUACAUAACGAAUUACUUCUUCACUCACGCGGCGUCGCUGCAUCAGAGUUCCCUCCAUUGUGCAAUAUUCCCCACUGCUGCUUCCCGUAGGAGUCUGGGCCGUGUCUCAGUCCCAAUGUGGCCGUCCACCCUCUCAGGCCGGCUACUGAUCGUUGCCUUGGUAAGCCUUUACCUUUCCAACUAGCUAAUCAGACGCGGGUCCAUCUCAUACCAGAUUUCUCCUUUUUCACACAAAUACAUGCGUCUUCGUGCGCUUAUGCGGUUUACCACCAGUUUCCCGAUGCUAUCCCCCUGUAUGAGGCAGGUUGCCCACGCGUUACUCACCCGUCCGCCACUAAGUUAUUUCUUUUCCAUCUCCGUAAAGAUUUACCAACAAAACCACUCCGUUCGACUUGCAUGUGUUAAGUCACGCCGCCAGCCGUUCAUCCUGACGCCAGGAUACAAAACUCUUA